rnacentral:lncRNA from 1 species
CUGACGUCGAAUUGCUGGAUGCAACCUUGACCAAUCGCUCAGUUGUGACAGAAGGAAUUUAUGUGGUCGGCUGCUUGCAAGAUUAUACCGACAGCAGUGUCCGAGGCGCUGAACAAGCUUCACAGGACUCCCUAGAAGACGUGUCCGCCAACAGCUCUAUAAAUGAGAGCCCUACUGCAAAUGUGCUUUCCUGCGUGCCAACGACA